AUGUCAUGUGUGUCAUUCUAGUACAGAUUAUACAUGUACAAAAUUUCAAAUUUCUAUGAGGCUUGCUCAUAAAAAAUCGACUGUUUUCCUUGCUGAGUUGAAGGCAAUAUGGCUAAACAAAUCUUGUCCGAUUCUUACGCGUAUUUGCACAAUUGCUUUAUGCGAUUGUAUUACAAAAUUAUUGGAUCGAUACUCUUUGAACGCCUACUGAGUUGGCUUAAAAUUUUUCUUACCUAUUUUCUGAUUUGUUGUACAAGCGUCUGGAGCACUCUUAAGCGAUGGCAAAAUUAUUUUGGAUAUUUCUGUUGUUUGUAAAUUAAUCAGUAGAGGAAUGCAAAUCCUCUUGGGCACUGACAUGAUUCCUGACAGUUCUAUAAGCGUCUGCAGUCCUCUGAUGCUAUCAUGCUCUACCGCCUUGGUAAACUUGCUUUCAAAUUCUUUCUGUUAUUUCCGCAUUUGAUAAGAUCGGAAGUAGAUUUUGCAAAUACUUUCAAAUAAUACCAAAUAAUACCGCUACCUUUACCAGAGCGACCUCGCUGUCUGUCAGAAAAUCUACGGGAUGCCGGAUACCGGUCAAGUCGUCUUAUUUAACGGUUGGCACAAGGCAAGCAGGGUCGUGUGCGACGACUGUCGGAUGAAUCGCGUGGGUAAAUUGAUUGACCAGGCAAAAGUAUGCCUGGAUGUGGUGCUACUGUCUACCGCCAAUGUCAAGUACAUUGACCGCAUAUUGGCUGCACAUAUUCGGAGUGUCACUGUGCGCGUUCUCGCCAGCGGCGAUGGGCCAGCGAUGAAGCUACUCUGCGCCCUGAGUGUGCAGGUGCGCUGCUCAAUCGGAGUAAUAUUCGGGUACAAUUUUGCUAUAAUAGACAGUGAAAAGCGAGCCCUGGAGAUAGAGGCCAAGCAGGAUACGGUCCACACGUGUCUUUGGCGACUAAGGGGUAACAUGAAAGGGUGUCUAAACUGGAUCCUACUGGCCGCGUUGCAGAAACGUGAUUAUAGGAAUGACAAUCGCCACUACCAAAAAUUUGUUGAUGAAUGGAACUUCUUAUAUCCUGUCACCCCGUCCUACUUCAUAGCAUAUAAUUUGCCUUCACCGCAGCAUAAAGCAUAGAUCAAAGGGUUAGUUAGUUACGUUUUCACCUCCGCUUCAACCGGCUGACCUACCGCGUGAAUAUCCACAAACACGAACCAUA